UACGACCGGUCGGACACGUGUGUGGCCGACCCACAAGUGGAGGCUCCGUUCUCCCACCUGGCUGCCCCUCGGGGCGGCGGGUCACCGGUCAGGCGGCGCCCAUCGUUCCGUACGGACGAUGGAGCCGCCCGAUGCGCGCCCCGCGGUUCGACGCGGCGGUGCUCCGGUAUUCAUGGAGCUCCCGCCUGUGUCCCGUCCGGGGCAUUUUUC
rnacentral:ncRNA from 1 species